rnacentral:lncRNA from 10 species
UGAUGCAGAGUUGGUGGAAUCCACAGAUACAGAAAACUGACCGUACUGUAGAAUGUCCCACUUUUUUGAUUUGCCUGAUUGAUUUACCACUGAGGUGAUGCCUAACAAAUUCCUGUCUCCCCUGUAUUUCCCAUGAGAUGGAAAUUAAUUCUACAGUCUUGAUGUGAUUCAGACCCCUGAGGUGGCAGGUUCAAGAAUGCAGUCUUCAGAGGGAAGCUUUUGGUCUAGGAGGCUUCAGCCAGGACAGUUCAGUUAAUCAUACUCUCCCUCCGGGUACUGCCCCUUUAAGAAGUGGACAGACUCUGGUUCCAACUCCAAACCUCAGUUAGAAGUUCAAGCCACAAGACGAACACACAUGUCCUGCCCAGAAAGCUGCCCAGCCUUGCUGUUGACUUUCUCCUGACAGCUUGUCAUCCACAUACCCAUCCCACGCAAACGCAAACAUAUCCUUUUAAACAUCGAAGUCUCAAAGCCUCCCCCAUGAAAAGGAAGUUGAAAGUCAAGUUCCGGGCACCCUCGGCUUCUGUAGUUUGACCAGUAACCUGGUAAGAAGGGGCACCUCCUUUGACAACCCGAGUGUGCCCAACAAUGCCAAUGAGAAUUCUUUAAUGAUCACUCGGAAGAUGUCAUCUCUGUGUCUCAGCGAAUCCUUCUCUUAAAAAGAAAAGCACUCAUGAGACUGGAAGAAGAGG